rnacentral:ncRNA from 1 species
AGGAGCCGUGUAACGGGAAACUGUUACGCACGGUUUUGGAGACCAGCGGGUUUCGUGAGAAACUCGCUGAGUUUAAU